rnacentral:lncRNA from 1 species
CCUGGGAACUGUUGGGUAAGGUUUCAGAAAAUUCUUCUCUUCCCCAGCCAGAAUAAUCGCUGACUGUGAGGGGCCGAAUAGAUCUACAGCUGAACUAGGAGAGCUUCUCAUGUGCCAUCCUUAUCCUUCAAGUCCUGUGUGCAGCAUAUUGGCCCCCGGCGACCUUAUGUACAAAUACCUCAGAAGUUGUAUGAUGGAGCUUUGAGAGAGACUUGAGAAAGACCCACUAUGUAUACAAAAUAUUGCAAGAAUUGGCAGUGAGGAGUCCAGAGAGAACUUGUUUCCCCUGGAGUGACCUCUCUUUGUACUUCAGCAUUUGAUGUUGCUCCCCCCUGAACUAACCAGUGCAACCAAGCAGAAAAUAUGGCCUUACUUCUCAGGAUUUCUCAGUUGGAUGCAGAUGCCACUAAGUUAAGACUCUCUCUCUCAGCAAUUCAGACUGACUCAUCAUUCCUUAAGUCAUCAGAGAACUGGAAAAUUCGGCAGUGGAAGAGGAGCAUUUACAGGGUGACAGCAGAAAUGAUGCAGUGGUGAACCUGGAGUGAGCACGCGUCAGGGUUUCCACGCCGCGGUCUGAGGUGCAGUGUCAGGAUACCCAGGUGAGCGUUCAGCUCCAGUGGCACAGGCUACACGGAGAACUAACUUACUGCUCUGGUGUGCUGCGACUAAACUGUACAUAGCACCUAUCUUGCCUGUUUAAAGGUGG